UAAACUAGGAUUAGAUACCCUAUUAUUAAGAGCAAAAAAUUGUAAGUAAAUAAUAAUUACGAAAGCAAAAAAUUAUGGCGGUAUCUUAAGCUUUUCAGAGGAAUUUGCUCUGUAAUGGAUAAAACACCUAAAUCUUACUUAAAUUAGUUAGAAUUCAGUUUGUAUACCACUAUUAAAAUAAUAAUUUACUAUUAUUAUUAAUAUUCUUUAUUAAGAAAAAAGUUAAGUCAAGGUGCAGCAAAAAUUUAAGAAUGAAGUGAAUUACAUUUCUUAAAAGAAAAAAAAAUGAAAAUAAAAUUUAGGAUUGAUAGUAAAAUUAAAAUAAAAA
rnacentral:rRNA from 1 species